UGCUAUACAUGCAGUCGAACGCGUUGGCCCAACUGAUUGAACGUGCUUGCACGGACUUGACGUUGGUUUACCAGCGAGUGGCGGACGGGUGAGUAACACGUAGGUAACCUGCCCCAAAGCGGGGGAUAACAUUUGGAAACAGAUGCUAAUACCGCAUAACAAUUUGAAUCGCAUGAUUCAAAUUUAAAAGAUGGCUUCGGCUAUCACUUUGGGAUGGACCUGCGGCGCAUUAGCUUGUUGGUAGGGUAACGGCCUACCAAGGCUGUGAUGCGUAGCCGAGUUGAGAGACUGAUCGGCCACAAUGGAACUGAGACACGGUCCAUACUCCUACGGGAGGCAGCAGUAGGGAAUCUUCCACAAUGGGCGCAAGCCUGAUGGAGCAACACCGCGUGAGUGAAGAAGGGUUUCGGCUCGUAAAGCUCUGUUGUUAGAGAAGAACGUGCGUGAGAGCAACUGUUCACGCAGUGACGGUAUCUAACCAGAAAGUCACGGCUAACUACGUGCCAGCAG
rnacentral:rRNA from 2 species